AUUGAACGCUAGCGGGAUGCUUUACACAUGCAAGUCGAACGAGUGGCGGACGGGUGAGUAAUAUAUGGGAACGUGCCCAGUAGCGGGGGAUAACUACUCGAAAGAGUGGCUAAUAACGCAAACGAUUGGAACGGCCGCUAUCGGAUUAGCUAGUGGGUGUGGUAAAGGCUCACCAAGGCAACGAUCCGUAGCUGGUAUGAUAGGAGGACCAGCCACACUGGAACUGAGAAACGGCCCAGACUCCUACGGGAGGCAGCAGUGGGGAAUUGUGGACAAUGGGGUAACCCCUGAUCCAGCCAUCCCGCGUGUAUGAGAAGGCCUUCGGGUUGUAAAGUACUUUUGGCAGAGAAGCGGUAUCUGCAGAAUAAGCACCGGCUAACUACGUGCCAGCAGCCGCGGUAAUAC
rnacentral:rRNA from 1 species